AUAUACGGACAUAUCACGUUGAAAGCACCGGUUCUCGUCUGAUCACCGAAGUUAAGCAACAUCGAGCCUAGUUAGUACUUAGAUGGGUGACCGCUUGGGAAACCUAGGUGCUGUAAGCA
rnacentral:rRNA from 1 species